AAUUGCCAGACAAAAUGUGAAUCAUAAUCUAGAAGUUCUGUUGAGCAAUGGACUUGAUUUUGAGUAACACAGCAUGUCAUUUUGCAAGAGUGGAUAAGGAGGUGUUGAGCAACACGAGGUGCUACAACCUAAAUUAACCUCUUUUCCAAUGAAUCAUGCUCCAGUUUGUAUCACAUGAUGCUUGAGGGGAAUAUAAGGAAAACUGAAUGGAUGGAGUUCCUGGACAAAAUUUUAGUAUGUCAUAAUGGGCAAUUAAAAAUUCAUUAGGCUAUUAUUGUGAUUCAAGUAUGGAACUUUCAUUCAUUAUCUCUAAGUUUUGCCAGUGGCUCUUUUUGUACUGCCAUAUGUUGAUCAUUGGUUAUGUUAACAGUAACAUGGUAAAUUUGUUUCCUUAUGACAUUAUGUGGGUGUGUUAACAGGUUGCUGCUUAGUAUAAAUGUCCUUUUUUAAGCUUGGGGAACCACAAGAAUUAAUAUAGAUUUUACAAAUGCAAAACCUUCAUAUUUUUUCCAUUAAGAUUCAGCUCAGUCUCUGUUUAGUAGACAUCCUUUCCCUGCCCCAUAUUUUCUUUGAUCAACUCCUUUUCCCCCUGACUUUUACCUUUAAAUUGGCAUCCCAUCUCAUAAAGAGGUCUAUAAAUCCAACCAGUAGAUCACUUCCCAGACAGUCCAGAAGAGAGAAGAAAGAGGAAGGAAGAGGAGAAGGAGGAGAAGGAGAAGGAAGAAGGAGGAGAAGAAGGGAAACUACAGAAUUCGCUCUGGUCCUGACCCCCACAUCUUCAAGAAAAUCUAUUCCAAAGGAUACCAGCUUUGCUCCUCACUGUGAUUCUUAA
rnacentral:lncRNA from 1 species